CGGAAGAAUAGCAUAACGGUAUUGCAGCAGAUUGCUAAUCUGUCGGUUUGAAAUAUAGCCUUGUGGGUUCGAUUCCCACUUCUUCCGCCAG
rnacentral:tRNA from 1 species